rnacentral:tRNA from 1 species
GGGCAAUUAGCUCAGUCCGGUUAGAGCACUGCAUUCACAUUGCAGGGGUCACAGGUUCGAGUCCUGUAUUGCCCACCA